rnacentral:rRNA from 1 species
AUACGGAGGAUGCGAGCGUUAUCCGGAUUCAUUGGGUUUAAAGGGUACGUAGGUGGCCCUGUAAGUCAGUGGUGAAAACCUGCCGCUUAACGGUAGGCGUGCCAUUGAUACUGCGGGGCUUGAGUACAGAUGAGGUAGGCGGAAUGUGUAGUGUAGCGGUGAAAUGCAUAGAUAUUACACAGAACUCCGAUUGCGAAGGCAGCUUACUAAACUGCAACUGACGCUGAUGUACGAAAGCGUGGGUAGC